rnacentral:rRNA from 1 species
GCAAGUCGAACGCAGGGCUUCGGCCUUGAGUGGCGAACGGGUGAGUAACACGUGGGCGACCUACCUCCAAGUACGGUAUAACUUCGGGAAACCGGAGCUAAUCCCGAAUGUUCUUAUGUCUCAUGUGACAUACGUAAAGAUUUAUCGCUUCGAGAUGAGCCCGCGGCGCAUCAGCUAGUAGGUAGGGUAACGGCCUACCAAGGCGACGACGCGUAGCCGACCUAAGAGGGUGACC